rnacentral:sRNA from 1 species
GUGACCCAGGCCUCUCUCCGGUCUCACAUUGGAGUUGUGCCCCAAGACACUGUCCUCUUUAAUGACACCAUCGCUGACAAUAUCCGUUACGGCCGUGUUACAGCUGGGAAUGAUGAGGUGGAGGCUGCUGCUCAGGCUGCAGGCAUCCAUGAUGCCAUUAUGGGUUUCCCUGAAGGGUACAGGACACAGGUGGGCGAGCGGGGACUGAAGCUGAGCGGUGGGGAGAAGCAGCGCGUCGCCAUUGCCCGCACCAUCCUCAAGGCUCCGGACAUCAUUCUGCUGGAUGAGGUGCGCCCUGGGUCUCCUCCCCUCCUUCCUCCCUUGUGUAUGCUCAAGCCAUUCCUGCUGGGCACUGUCCCCACCUAGAACAGAUACCAUGAAUCCACAUCUCACAAAACACACUUUACAGUUCUCAAGCCCAAACAAGGCUCUUGUGUAUUCUUGAGGCCUCAGCCAGCAGCCUGCCUCCUUCCAUUGAGGGUUUUGAGUGGCAGGAACAGUUUUACCUGGACCCUCUCUAUAGGCAACGUCAGCACUGGAUACAUCUAAUGAGAGGGCCAUCCAGGCUUCUCUGGCCAAAGUCUGUGCCAACCGCACCACCAUCGUAGUGGCACACAGGCUCUCAACUGUGGUCAAUGCUGACCAGAUCCUCGUCAUCAAGGAUGGCUGCAUCGUGGAGAGGGGACGGCAUGAGGCUCUGUUGUCCCGAGGUGGGGUGUAUGCUGACAUGUGGCAGCUGCAGCAACAGGGACAGGAAGAAACCUCUGAAGACACUGAGCCUCAGACCAUGGAACGGUGACAAAAGUUUGGCCACUUCCCUCUCAAAGACUAACCCAGAAGGGAAUAAGAUGUAUCUCCUUUCCCUGGCUUAUUUCAUCCUGGUCUUGGGGUGUGGUGCUAGCUAUAGUAAAGGAAAGGGACCUUUCAGAAAAGCACUUUUUGGGGAAAUAAAAAUGUGGACUGUG